rnacentral:rRNA from 1 species
UAAGCGGAGGAAAAGAAACUNACAAGGAUUCCCCUAGUAACUGCGAGUGAAGCGGGAAAAGCUCAAAUUUAAAAUCUGGCGGUCUUCGACUGUCCGAGUUGUAAUCUAGAGAAGUGUUAUCCGCGCUGGACCGUGUACAAGUCUCCUGGAAUGGAGCAUCAUAGAGGGUGAGAAUCCCGUCUUUGACAUGGACUACCAGGGCUUUGUGAUGCGCUCUCAAAGAGUCGAGUUGUUUGGGAAUGCAGCUCAAAAUGGGUGGUAAAUUCCAUCUAAAGCUAAAUAUUGGCGAGAGACCGAUAGCGAACAAGUACCGUGAGGGAAAGAUGAAAAGAACUUUGGAAAGAGAGUUAAACAGUACGUGAAAUUGCUGAAAGGGAAACGCUUGAAGUCAGUCGCGUCGUCCAGGGAUCAACCUUGCUUUUGCUUGGUGCACUUCCUGGUUUGAUGGGUCAGCAUCAAUUUUGACCAUUGGAAAAAGGCUAAGGGAAUGUGGCAUCUUUGGAUGUGUUAUAGCCCUUUGUCACAUACAAUGGUUGGGAUUGAGGAACUCAGCAUGCCGCAAGGCCGGGUUUUUUUAACCACGUACAUGCUUAGGAUGCUGGCAAUAUGGCUUUAAUCGACC